rnacentral:rRNA from 1 species
AUUGAACGCUGGCGGCAGGCCUAACACAUGCAAGUCGAGCGGAUGGGAAGAGCUUGCUCUUCGAUUCAGCGGCGGACGGGUGAGUAAUGCCUAGGAAUCUGCCUGGUAGUGGGGGACAACGUUUCGACAGGAACGCCAAUACCGCAUACGUCCUACGGGAGAAAGCAGGGGACCUUCGGGCCUCGCGCUAUCAGAUGAGCCUAGGUCGGAUUAGCUAGUUGGUGAGGUAAUGGCUCACCAAGGCGACGAUCCGUAACUGGUCUGAGAGGAUGAUCAGUCACACUGGAACUGAGACACGGUCCAGACUCCUACGGGAGGCAGCAGUGGGGAAUAUUGGACAAUGGGCGAAAGCCUGAUCCAGCCAUGCCGCGUGUGUGAAGAAGGUCUUCGGAUUGUAAAGCACUUUAAGUUGGGAGGAAGGGCAGUAAGUUAAUACCUUGCUGUUUUGACGUUACCGACAGAAUAAGCACCGGCUAACUCUGUGCAAGCAGCCGCCGUAAUAC